UGCAAAAUUUGAUCAAAAACUCCCUUAGUUGAAGAGAAAACCCAACUAAAAGUUCCUCACACAAAUCCUUCAUCCUAUUUCCCUUAAGAAGUUUCCUUUUGUGAAAGAAGUCCAAGCUUGAUUUCAAGACCAAAAUCUUCACCUCACCUUCUGAUUUCCUUAAGUAUUGAGUAGAUGCUUGGGGAAACGGGAUGAACCUACUAGAUAAAAUAAUAUUUUUCUACUACUAUUUCUAGUGAAUACCUGUACUGAUUCGAAUUUUGCUUAACUUUGGUUAUGUAAAUAUAUUACCGAUAUUAGUUUUCUAAUAAAAGUACUAUUCAAACAUG